CUGGUCUUAACCUGCAAAGCUCCUCUGAGACAGACAAAAAAGACAACAAAGAGACACAAGCCUGGAAAACCACCAUAACCAGACAGAAAGGAGGGAAGACAAGAGGGAGGCGGAGAGAGAAGAAUGGAUGCAGAGAUCGAGAGGAUGCUUUCGACAAAAUGGCAUGAAUCGCAUGAACUCUGAUUCAUCCCCAUGUCCUGGAAACAAAUGCGCAAUUGAGUGUGUUUGGAAAGAGGUAGAAGAGAAAGAGGGAAGGCAGACCAAGAAGACAAGAGACAGAAGAGGAGAGAUGGUAGACAUGAGCUGUGAUUCAGUGUCAUAUCCUUGUGCUUCCUGAAUUUCUCUGCCUCGCAACAAUUUGUUGCCAGAUCUGCAGGAGCUCCAGUCUUUGCCAGAUUAUCUCACCUCUAGAGUGUCUUGCUCCCGGUGGCGGAAUCUGCUAAACGUUUGGAGCCUUCACUGCCUUCCAUUUCACUGCCUGCCUGCUCUCCCCACCAUGGACUCUAGCCUCAGCAUACCAGCCAGCACCCUCCUCUCCUAUCUGGACUCUCCUCUACUGCAGAAAGGACUACCAACCUGACCACUGGAUGCAUUAUUCCUUACAACCCACCUAAGUCUUUUUCUGUAUCUAGCGCCUCUCCUUUCCUGAGGUUUUGCCCCCCCCCCCCCC
ensembl:lncRNA